ensembl:snRNA U5 U5 spliceosomal RNA
ACACUCUGGCUUCUCUUCAUAACGUACAAGUCUUUCGCCUUUUACUAAAGACUUCCGUGGAGAGCAGCGCUAAGGAGUUGCACCUAUUUUUGGCAGGGUCUGGCUGGCUGGGCCCU